rnacentral:tRNA from 1 species
UUUUUGUAUGGCUGAAGGAGCAUCAACGCUCGCUCCCAAUGGGUGUGUGCCUCUGGAUAGCGGUCCUGUUCCGUUGUAAGGAUC